ACCUCACCCCCGGCGAAUGAUAGUAAGCACGGCAAAAUGAAGCUCCAGAUGCACUGUCUGUGAAAGUGUUUCUGGGCUGGAGCUGGAGCUGGAGCUGGAGCUGCUGCUGCUGCUGCUGCUGCUGCUGCUCAGGGCCUCUCACUUUUUGAAUACACUCGAGUGGGCUAAGAUGGGAGGCUGCCCCCCCUCCUGUCUUCUCCCUCACUCUCACUCCCUCACUCACUCCCUCACUCCUCUCUCUGGGCUGUUUCUUUCCUCCGCUUCCCCAGGCAGGGGGGUGGGGAGGAGGGGGCCGCGGGGGGAGGGUCGGGAGCCUCCUCCUCCUCCUCCUCCUCCCCCUCUCCCUCCUCCUCCUCCUCCUCCUCCUCCUCCUGGAGACUCACUCUCACAGAGGCCCCGGGCCGAAGUGAGAGGAGGGGGCGGGCGGAGGAGAAGCCGAGCAGCGGGAGACAAACUGUGAGAGCCCGAGCGGCCCAACUCUUCUUCUUCUUCUCCUUCCUCCUCCUCCCCCCGCCCCCUCCCCCUCCUCCUCCUCCUCCUCCUCCUCCUCCCAGCAGCAGCAGCAGCAGCAGCAGCAGCAGCGAGCACCACCAGCCCAUUCACCACCCGGCCCCGGGCCGCAGCACCUCCGCCGCCUCAGCCCGGGGAUCCCUCCGCCCAGGCCCAGGCCCAGGCCCACUCGCUCUUUUGCUCGGGAGCCCGCCGCGCGGUCCCGCCACCGCUGCCGCUGCCGCCGUGCGCGCGGGCGCCAUGCGCGUGGCCGCGCGGCCGCCGCUCGGGAGCUAGAGGAAGAGAGCUAGAGGAAGCGGGCCGAGAGCGGGGCGCGGGGGCGCCGGGCUCUCCCCCCUCCUCUCCGGCCCUGGCCGCGCCUCGGCCUGAGCCUGGGCCUGGGCCUGGACCGGGCCGGGCCGGGAAAAGGAGGCCCCACGGCGGCGCUCGGGCGGACUACUUGUCGUGUCGGUGCGGCGAAUUUAUUUCACUUUGCCUAAGGAACGGGGUGUGCUGCGGCCCCCAUUGCCUAGGGAAAAAACCCGGAUGUAAAUUUCAUUUUGAUAGGAAAGACUCAAGAAUUCAGGAUGGGCCAGGGUCCUGGUGUUGGGAAGGACCAUGAUGAGAAGCAACCCGUUCCAGUGCCCUCGAUUGUGAGGGAGAAAUUCAGACCAGCCAAAUUCUAGAAAAGGCUAUCUUAGAAUACUAUUGUGCUAUAAGAAAUAACAAGCAAAAUGACUUCAGAAAAAACCUGAAAAGGCUUAGAAGAACUGAAGCAGAGUGGAAUAUGCAGAACCAAUAAAGCAUUGGACACAACAACA
rnacentral:lncRNA from 1 species